GCACCUCGCCUUCAAAGCCUCCCCUUGCGUUUCUUGUCCGGCCCCCCAAGAUUGGGGUCUAGCAGGGGCCAGGAACCGCAGCCAGAGGUGGGGAGUUGAGCUCUGCCCGGACGUUUGCUCUCCUGUCUGCCUCCUUCCCAGCCUUCUGCGGAAGAGAGAAAUAAGAUUAUGUCUACUUUGAGAAUUCCUCCAGCAAUCCCUAUCUAAUCAGAAGGAUAGAAGAACUCAACAAGACUGCAAGUGGCAAUGUGGAAGCAAAAGUAGUGUGCUUUUAUAGACGACGAGAUAUUUCCAACACGCUUAUAAUGCUUGCGGAUAAGCAUGCUAAAGAAAUUGAGGAAGAAUCUGAAACAACAGUUGAGGCUGACUUGACUGAUAAACAGAAACAUCAAUUGAAGCAUAGGGAACUCUUUUUGUCACGCCAGUAUGAAUCUUUACCUGCAACACAUAUCAGGGGGAAAUGCAGUGUUGCUCUUCUCAAUGAGACAGAAUCUGUGUUGUCAUAUCUUGAUAAAGAGGAUACCUUUUUCUACUCAUUGGUCUAUGAUCCCUCAGUGAAAACACUGUUAGCUGACAAAGGUGAAAUCAGAGUGGGACCCAGAUACCAAGCAGACAUUCCAGAAAUGCUCUUAGAAGGAGAAUCAGAUGAGAGGGAACAGUCAAAACUGGAAGUUAAAGUUUGGGAUCCAAAUAGCCCACUUACGGAUCGACAGAUUGACCAGUUUUUAGUUGUAGCACGGGCCGUUGGGACAUUUGCUCGAGCCCUUGAUUGCAGCAGUUCCGUGCGGCAACCCAGUUUGCACAUGAGUGCUGCCGCAGCUUCGCGAGACAUCACCUUGUUUCAUGCUAUGGAUACGUUGUAUAGACACGGCUAUGAUUUAAGCAGUGCCAUUAGUGUCUUAGUACCACUUGGAGGACCUGUUUUAUGCAGAGAUGAAAUGGAAGAAUGGUCGGCCUCUGAAGCUAGCUUAUUUGAAGAGGCACUGGAAAAAUACGGGAAAGACUUCAAUGACAUACGUCAAGACUUUCUGCCUUGGAAAUCAUUGACUAGCAUCAUUGAAUAUUAUUACAUGUGGAAAACUACUGACAGAUACGUGCAACAGAAACGUCUAAAAGCAGCAGAAGCUGAGAGUAAGCUGAAACAAGUGUAUAUCCCAACUUACAGCAAACCAAAUCCCAACCAAAUAUCCACCAGCAAUGGCAAGCCCGGGCCUGUGAAUGGAGCAGUGGGGACUACAUUCCAGCCCCAGAAUCCUCUCUUAGGGCGAGCCUGUGAGAGCUGCUUUGCUACACAGUCUCACCAGUGGUAUUCUUGGGGCCCACCUAACAUGCAGUGUAGAUUGUGUGCAACUUGUUGGCUUUAUUGGAAAAAAUAUGGAGGCCUGAAAAUGCCCACCCAGUCAGAAGAAGAGAAGCUAUCUCCCAGCCCAACCUCAGAGGACCCCCGCGUCAGAAGUCACAUGUCCCGCCAGGCCACACAGGGCAUGCCAGUCCGGAACACUGGCAGUCCCAAGUCCGCAGUGAAGACGCGCCAAGCUUUCUUCCUUCAUACUACGUAUUUCACAAAGUUUGCACGUCAGGUCUGCAAAAACACUCUCCGGUUGCGGCAGGCAGCAAGACGGCCAUUUGUUGCUAUUAAUUAUGCUGCCAUUAGGGCAGAAUAUGCAGACAGACAUGCUGAACUAUCUGGAAGUCCCCUGAAAAGCAAAAGCACUAGGAAACCUUUGGCAUGUAUCAUUGGGUAUUUAGAGAUCCAUCCUGCGAAGAAACCUAAUGUAAUUCGAUCUGCACCCAGCCUGCAAACCGCAACUACCAAGCGGCUGCUAAGCACCCCGAACCAUACAUCUCUGAGCAUUCUGGGGAAGAGAAACUACAGUCAUCACAACGGCCUGGACGAAAGGCUCACCAAGUGAAGCACAGCUCUGCUCCAUCUUGCAGCCCUUCCUCGGGAUGCUACAAGGCUGUGGAGAACUCACAUGCUGCGUGUCAGACUGAGCCUCCCUGUUUCAUCCUGCAAUCCAAGACUCGCUACACCACCCCGCUGAUGUCCACAGCCAUGCCUGGGAAGGAGGCAGCCCCAUUCCCAGUCCCUUUCAGGGGAGACCUCCUCGUGCGCCCCGUGGAGACUCAGUGGGGCAGGGGAAGAAACUGUGGGAGCACGUGCUGCAGGCUGCGUCUCCGUGUGUGCGUCCCGGGCACCUCGCUUUCCUCUCAGAGACCUUGCUGUCCCACAGCGGGACCUGCCUGAGAAGGGGGGUGGGGGAGCCGCCCCUCCCCUUCUGCCCCCUCCACUCUGCAGCAGGAGCCACGGCCCUGCAUGUGUCAGCUCCGCUCUGUUUCAUGCUCUGUAAUUACGUACAGGAGGGCCUUGGCUUCAUUCUAAUGGAUUUUUCUUAAGAACAUGCCAGUGUUUAUGCAGUUGAUGGUGUCUCCCUAUCCUCGCUGUUACUGUCACUUGGCUUUUCCUUUUCUUACGGGGGAAAUCCCCCUCUUUCCCCUAUAGCCUAUAUUUGACCCCUCCCACUCCCACCUCUCCGAGGCACAGAACUCCCUGAGGAUCUGACGGAAGGUGAGCUGGUCGUUUCUGGUAAGCCUGCAAACUCUGCUCAUCACCCGCGUGUGUCGUUGGAGAGAGCUGAUGUUCUCCAGGUUCUGCUCAGUCCCAGGCAACUCCAGCAAGAGCCGGUGUUAAGUAUGCCCAGCCUGUGUGUUGCUGGGAUGAGCCACCUGUGUACUGUGUGCUCCCUCACAGCCAAACCAGCUGACGAGGAUCUGUGGCCAGGUGGAUCCUACGGUGGUGGUCACACAUCACCCGGGGUGUAUCUUAGAGAGACUCUUCCUGGCCUGGGGGCUGUUAGCAGGUGUGAGCAUGGCAGACGGCACCAUGAUUUCCAUCCGCCGGCCCAGUGCUUCCUGUGUGCGCGCGUGCCUGCCCUCAGGAGGCUGCCUGCCCCCCUGGCUGGUGCUCAGCCCAUCUGCCUGUGGCGCCCACCCUCCAUAGCACCACAGCUGGCUGCUGUGCGGCUCUGGGCACCCAGCCACAGGGCUGGGAAGAGCUCAGUACCCGGUUAGCCGAGCAAGCGGACGUGGGGCUGGCCUCUCCCCUGCCCUCCACUGGCAGUGGCAGGGCACAGGACCACAGCACCGUGAAAGACAAUGGAGUGUGACCGCUCAGCUGUCUCGAGGCUGCAGUCGGGAGGCAGCUGGCCGGCUGGUAGGAGGUGCCACUGACAGCAGGCUCAAUGCAGACAGACCUCCCCGGGAAGAGGGAGCCAUCGCAAAGACAAUGCUGCUCUCCGAGAAUGCGCUGCGCGGAGCUCAGGCCCAGCUGCCUGGCCCGUCUGCAGCCUGGCAGUCCUCCUGGCUUCUCUUCUGAGGAGGAGUUGGUUCUCAUCUUGGGCUUCUGUGGGGGUGCCCGGGGGAUGUUCCCGCCACUGCCAGCCCACGGAGUUAUACUGGGUCUUGGCUCAGGCCCACCAGCGGGGCCUGUGUCCGGGAUGCUAAGUGAGACGGGUGGAGGUGGCAGGGGCCCACUGAGGCCCCUUCGGUGAAGCCCUGGGGAGAGGAGGCAGCUAGCUCUGUGUGUCGUGAGCCAUGCGGUGGCUUCGUUGCUGGAGAAGACACGGCAAAGCUGUCUGAGCCCUGCCCUGGACUGACUGUCACUCACAGACGUGGAGGGGAAGUGAUUCCCUCACCAUUUCUCAUCCCUUUCCUGACCCGUCCUAAAUGGCUCCUAGGACAGCGAGCUGCCCAUGACUCUGCCGCCAGCCCCACCCUCUCCACCUGGUGGGAGACAUGCUCUCCCCAGGCCACGUUAAGCUUUGGACAAAGCACAGCUCAUUUGGAGCUGCUUGUACCAGGGAGGCUCUUCCUUGCCCUGGUCAGUGCGCCCGCCUGGCUCUGCAGCCUCUUCUCCUCACACAGACGCUGCUGGGAUUCUGUGCUCUCGGCUCACCUCUGGAAGGUCGGUUGUUCAGUGGCUGUCCUGCAGGGGGCCUCUAGGGUGCCCCCUUCUGGGGCCACACUUUUCAGGGAGCAUGUGGUGGCCAUGCCAAGACCGUGCACAGCCCAUGGAGACGAGCUGUGGAGCUGCGCUCUGCAAGGCAUCUCCUCUCCCCUUGCCAGUGCUGCUCACCCCGGUUUCCUAAGUGUGUGCAAGAAAGGAGGAUGGGGAGGAGGUGUUGCUGGAACUUCUCGGCACGCCUCUCACAGUGCCACCGUGUCCACAACCUGACUGCUGUGGCUCAGAGCCCGAUUAGGAAAGCAGAAACCACUCCAAGUACUUGAGACAGCAAGGUUUCAGGGCAGGCAUUUGGCCUAGUGAGUAAGAGGCUGGUUAAGAUGCCCGCAGCCCACAUCUGAGUACCUGGGUUCAGGACUGAGCCCUGGCUCCUGACCCCAGCUUCCUGCCAGCGCACACCCAGAGAGGUAGCUGUGAUGGCCCAAGUGACUGGGCUCCUGCCACCCACGUGGAGACCCACCCUGCUUCCUGGCUCCCAGUUUCGGCACCCAUGGCUGCUGUGAGUGUCUGGGGAGAGAACCAGCAGAUGGGAGAUCUCUCUCUGCCUCUCAAGUAAACAAAACAACCACGGGUUUUAAUCCAGAGAUUUAACUUAGAAACAAGAAGAGCCGGGAGUGAGGGGCGAGCCAGAGACUGGGAGUAAAAGCAGGGAGGCUGUCACCAGAGGCCAUGGCCAUUGGGCAGGCCAGGGGACCACGGAGGCCACAUCUAGUGGGAGCUGGAGCCUCAGGGAGAUGCAGUCCGCCAGAGACAUCCCCCAGGCCAAGAGUGAAGAGAAAUGGCCUGACUCCUCUGGCUGGCCGGGCAGGUUUCUACAGGUGCCUCGUGAUAGCUAGACCCAGGUGGAAGCCAGGUGCUCUAGGAGCCUGGGACGGACAACCUGCAGGCGUGGCCCCUCCACACAGAGCAGAGCUGGAUAGGACGAGGGUGGGUGAGGAGCCGGUAUGAGGCCCUGGUCUGCUUGUGUGCUGGGGGGGGACUUGGCUGGAGAGGGCUGCCCUGGGGUGUUACGGCUCCGUCUGCCUAGGGAGGAGGUUUGCUCUGGGAGGGCGGGGAAGCCUUUGUUGCUCCUGUUUUCCCUUGGGGGAUUUCCUCAGCAGCCCCACCUCCGGGUCCCAGUGUUGCCCUGCCCCCUUCCUGCCCCUCUGCAGUGCAUCUGCCAGCGAUCACACCCCAGCAUGCCUCUGUGCUCACAAGCAUCCCCAGAGCCAGUCCUUUCCCGGCACGAUGGCAAGGGCACGCCAUCCACGCGUCGGUUUGUAUCGUGUGUCCAAUAAAUUCCUGGAAAUGAU